UUGAUGUUUAGCGACAGUCGAUUGCCCCAUAUGAAUCACACACUCCGCGCCUCUCCCUCUUCACGAUUCGUCUUCUUCCCGCCCUAUCCUCUCCCAGUCGAUUCUGUCAUCUCUCUCUCGCACUCGCUCUGUCUCGCUCGCUCACUCGCCUGCUCUCUCUCUACUUUCUCACAACCGAAGAACUACCUCGGUCUGUAGUUUCUCACAACCGGACGGCAACCAGAGGGCUCUCUCUCUUUCUCUCUAUACUUUCUCACUACUGGAGAACGACCUCGGUCUAAGUUUCUCACAACCGGACGAUGGUAGAGGGUGAUGUCGAUCUCAACUUUCUCACAACCGAUGAACAACCGCGGUCCAGAUUUUCUCACAAUCGGACAACAACCAGAGGGAAACCUUGAUAUUGGCUUUCUCACCACCAGAUAGACGACCAGAUAUCGACAUUAACAGGUAGGCUGGAGAGUCCUAUGCAUUUAGUAAGGAGAAUGGCUAGCUCUGUGGCAUUGGUGUUCUCUAAAGUGGUUGACCCAAAAAAUCCUCUUUACCUUGAUGAUAGUUUCAAUGGAGAGACUAUUGACUGGGAAUUUGGGUUUUCUACCCAAUCCAGGGGGAUUUCAUCCAGUUUGAAUGGCAAAAAAGAGAUUCAUGGUGAUGUGAAAAUAUCUUCCAUUACUGGGUCAAACAAGGAAGUAGACAAUGCUGACGCCAGAAUAAAUACCAAAAUGAAGCGUAAAAAUAAGAAGCUAUCUGGUGGAAAGAGCACUCGAUGUUGCUAAAAAACUUGUAAAAGCAUCACCUGAUGAACUCCAGCAUGUGUUUGGUGAUCUUGUGAGAGCUCUUGCACAGGUCCGUUGCUCUGAUUUGACCCUCAAAGGGGAGGAAGAAUAAGCUGAAAUAAAGAGGUAAAGAGCACUAGUUGCAUUGCUUGUCACAUGUCCAUUUGAAUCUGUGGAUGUCCUCAACAAACUAUUAUCCUCUCCUAAUGUGGAUGUUAGUCAACGUAUCCUAUACUUGAUGUAAUGACUGAUGCAGCUGAGGAGCUUGCAGAUGCUAAAAUCAUCAGAUCAGAACGGAAUAAGAAGAUACUUAUAUCAUCAAUGUCAGAGAGCGAGCCAUGGUUUUUGCCUGGUAACAGAGGAACCCCUAGAGCGGGUUCCUAGAAAGAGGUCUCAGACACAGGACCUUUAAGUUGGUCAUAUUGCUAUGACAGAAAUCUUCCCUUGAAACCAAAUCAAAUCAAAGUGGGGAAGUCACGAAGAUGGAGCAUCCGCUCAAAAAAUAAAUUCCCUGUAUAUGCUCCCAAUACAAACAUCAA